UACACUCCUACGGGAGGCAGCAGUGGGGAAUAUUGCACAAUGGGCGCAAGCCUGAUGCAGCCAUGCCGCGUGUAUGAAGAAGGCCUUCGGGUUGUAAAGUACUUUCAGCGGGGAGGAAGGCGAUAAGGUUAAUAACCUUGUUGAUUGACGUUACCCGCAGAAGAAGCACCGGCUAACUCCGUGCCAGCAGCCGCGGUAAUACGGAGGGUGCAAGCGUUAAUCGGAAUUACUGGGCGUAAAGCGCACGCAGGCGGUCUGUCAAGUCGGAUGUGAAAUCCCCGGGCUCAACCUGGGAACUGCAUUCGAAACUGGCAGGCUAGAGUCUUGUAGAGGGGGGUAGAAUUCCAGGUGUAGCGGUGAAAUGCGUAGAGAUCUGGAGGAAUACCGGUGGCGAAGGCGGCCCCCUGGACAAAGACUGACGCUCAGGUGCGAAAGCGUGGGGAGCAAACAGGAUUAGAUACCCCGGUAGUCCCA
rnacentral:rRNA from 1 species